rnacentral:hammerhead_ribozyme from 1 species
GCAUUUCUGACGAGUCCUAAACAGGACGAAAUAGCUGUUCAGUGC